AUACGUAGGGUGCAAGCGUUAAUCGGAAUUACUGGGCGUAAAGCGUGCGCAGGCGGUUUUGUAAGACAGAGGUGAAAUCCCCGGGCUCAACCUGGGAACUGCCUUUGUGACUGCAAGGCUAGAGUACGGCAGAGGGGGAUGGAAUUCCGCGUGUAGCAGUGAAAUGCGUAGAUAUGCGGAGGAACACCGAUGGCGAAGGCAAGCCCCUGUGCCUGUACGGACGCGCAGUCACGAAAGCGUGGGGAGCAAACAGGAUGAGAUACCCUGGUAGUCCACGCCCUAAACGAUGUCAACUGGUUGUUGGGUCUUCAUUGACUCAGUAACGAAGCUAACGCGUGAAGUUGACCGCCUGGGGAGUACGGCCGCAAGGUUGAAACUCAAAUGAAUUGCCGGGG
rnacentral:rRNA from 1 species